rnacentral:rRNA from 1 species
GAUGAACGCUGGCGGCGUGCCUAAUACAUGCAAGUCGAGCGAACAGACGAGGAGCUUGCUCCUCUGACGUUAGCGGCGGACGGGUGAGUAACACGUGGAUAACCUACCUAUAAGACUGGGAUAACUUCGGGAAACCGGAGCUAAUACCGGAUAAUAUAUUGAACCGCAUGGUUCAAUAGUGAAAGACGGUUUUGCUGUCACUUAUAGAUGGAUCCGCGCCGCAUUAGCUAGUUGGUAAGGUAACGGCUUAUCAAGGCAACGAUGCGUAGCCGACCUGAGAGGGGGAUAGGCGACACUGGAACUGAGACACGGUCCAGACUCCUACGGGAGGCAGCAGUAGGGAAUCUUCCGCAAUGGGCGAAAGCCUGACGGAGCAACGCCGCGUGAGUGAUGAAGGUCUUCGGAUCGUAAAACUCUGUUAUUAGGGAAGAACAAAUGUGUAAGUAACUAUGCACGUCUUGACGGUACCUAAUCAGAAAGCCACGGCUAACUACGUG